GUGGGGAAUCUUCCGCAAUGGACGAAAGUCUGACGGAGCGACGCCGCGUGAGUGAAGAAGGCCUUCGGGUCGUAAAGCUCUGUCAUCAGGGACGAACGGCCGGUGGAGUGGAAAGCCACCGGAUUGACGGUACCUGAGAAGGAAGCCACGGCUAACUACGUGCCAGCAGCCGCGGUAAUACGUAGGUGGCAAGAGUUUUCCGGAAUUAUUGGGCGUAAAGCGCUCGCAGGUGGGAUCUUAAGUCCAUUUUUAAAGUGCGGAGCUCAACUCCGUGAUGGGAUGGAAACUGGGAUUCGUGAGUACCGGAGAGGAAAGCGGAAUUCCCCGUGUAGCGGUGAAAUGCGUAGAUAUGGGGAGGAAUACCAGUGGCGAAGGCGGCUUUCUGGACGGUGUCUGACACUGAGGCGCGAAAGCUAGGGGAGCGAACGGGAUUAGAAACCCUAGUAGUCC
rnacentral:rRNA from 1 species